rnacentral:rRNA from 1 species
AUUGAACGCUGGCGGCAGGCCUAACACAUGCAAGUCGAACGGUAACAGGAAGAAGCUUGCUUCUUUGCUGACGAGUGGCGGACGGGUGAGUAAUGUCUGGGAAACUGCCUGCUGGAGGGGGAUAACUACUGGAAACGGUAGCUAAUACCGCAUAACGUCGCAAGACCAAAGAGGGGGCCCUUCGGGCCUCUUGCCAUCGGAUGUGCCCAGAUGGGAUCAGCGAGUAGGUGGGGUAACGGCUCACCUAGGCGACGAUCUCUAGCUGGUCUGAGGGGAUGACCAGCCAGCCGGGAAGUGAGCAACGGUCCAGACUCCUGCGGGGGGAAGCAGAGGGGAAUAUUGCACAAUGGGCGCAAGCCUGAUGCAGCCAUGCGGGGUGUAUGAAGAAGGCCUUCGGGUUGUAAAGUACUGUCAGCGGGGAGGAAGGGAGUAAAGUUAAUACCUGUGCUCAUUGACGUUACCCGCAGAAGAAGCACCGGCUAACUCCGUG